UACAGAGGUCUCAAGCGUUAUCCGGAUUCAUUGGGCGUAAAGGGUGCGUAGGUGGCGCUGUAAGUCAGGUGUGAAAUUUCGGAGCUCAACUCCGAAACUGCAUUUGAUACUGCGGUGCUUGAGGACUGGAGAGGAGACUGGAAUUCACGGUGUAGCAGUGAAAUGCGUAGAUAUCGUGAGGAAGACCAGUGGCGAAGGCGGGUCUCUGGACAGUUCCUGACACUGAGGCACGAAGGCCAGGGGAGCAAACGGG
rnacentral:rRNA from 1 species